GGGGAAUCUUGCACAAUGGGCGAAAGCCUGAUGCAGCGACGCCGCGUGCGGGACGAAGGCCUUCGGGUUGUAAACCGCUUUCAGCAGGGACGAGGCCGCAAGGUGACGGUACCUGCAGAAGAAGCCCCGGCUAACUACGUGCCAGCAGCCGCGGUAAUACGUAGGGGGCGAGCGUUAUCCGGAUUCAUUGGGCGUAAAGCGCGCGUAGGCGGCCUGCUAGGUCGGGACUCAAAUCCGGGGGCUCAACCCCCGCCCGGUCCCGAUACCGACAGGCUUGAGUCUGGUAGGGGAAGGCGGAAUUCCAAGUGUAGCGGUGGAAUGCGCAGAUAUUUGGAAGAACACCGGUGGCGAAGGCGGCCUUCUGGGCCACGACUGACGCUGAGGCGCGAAAGCUAGGGGAGCGAAC
rnacentral:rRNA from 1 species